AGAAUGGAUGGCCCUUCCGUGGCAGUGAGUGUGAAGCCCCUUCACUUCCUCCUGGGCAGUAUCUAGCCAUAACAUAUCAGUGGAUAAGAGUUACAUUAGUGACAUCUUAGCUCCACUUCAACAGGACAAUCUGAGACUGACCAGUGACAAUCCUUGGGAAUAGGCCUUGACAUCUAUGAUUACAGGACCUGUAACUGUGAUAAAAUUGGAGAAUGUUCAUCUUUGUCCUCAUCCCAUCUGGCAGGGCAUCAUGCAUCUGGCCCAGGAUUCAUGUUGAGCACUGGUGACAUGGUCCCCAGGAGUAGCUGCAAAGUCAAGGACAGCACAGAGUACAGUAUACUUUCAAUGUGAUCAGCAGUGAGGUAUUUCCUGGAAACCACUUCAUGAGAAAAAGCAGUCCAAGGCCAUUAGCAGAACAUUUUUCCAAACUCACAUGGAUCCCAUGAGACUGAUAUCAGCUGCGACUGUAUAUGGAAAAGGCACUCCCAUUCAGGAUUUUCAAGGCACUCGUAUCUUAAUUAACAGAACUUAUAUCCAAUGAAUACUAAACUCAUUUAAAUUUCAAUAAAAUUAAAUGUCCAUGCUUA
rnacentral:lncRNA from 1 species